CCUACGGGAGGCAGCAGUGAGGAAUAUUGGUCAAUGGACGAGAGUCUGAACCAGCCAAGUAGCGUGAAGGAUGACUGCCCUACGGGUUGUAAACUUCUUUUAUAAAGGAAUAAAACGAGGCACGUGUGCCGUUUUGCAUGUACUGUAUGAAUAAGGAUCGGCUAACUCCGUGCCAGCAGCCGCGGUAAUACGGAGGCUCCGAGCGUUAUACGGAUUUAUUGGGUUUAAAGGGAGCGUAGAUGGGUGGUUAAGUCAGUUGUGAAAGGUUCGGGCUCAACCCUAGCAUUGCAAUGGAUACUGGCGUUCUUGAGUACAGUUGAGGCAGGCGGAAUUCGUGGUGUAGCGGUGAAAUGCUUAGAUAUCACGAAGAACCCCGAUUGCGAAGGCAGCUUACUAAACUGUGACUGACAUUGAUGCUCGAAAGUGUGGGUAUCGAACAGGAUUAGAUACCCCAGUAGUC
rnacentral:rRNA from 1 species